AUCGUAAUGAUAAUAGGGACGGUCGGGGGCAUCAGUAUUCAGUCGUCAGAGGUGAAAUUCUUGGAUUGACUGAAGACUAACUACUGCGCAAGCAUUUGCCAAGGACGUUUUCAUUAAUCAAGAACGAAAGUUAGGGGAUCGAAGAUGAUCAGAUACCGUCGUAGUCUUAACCAUAAACUAUGCCGACUAGGGAUCGGGUGGUGCUACUUUGCCCACUCGGCACCUUACGAGAAAUCAAAGUUUUUGGGUUCUGGGGGGAGUAUGGUCGCAAGGCUGAAACUUAAAGGAAUUGACGGAAGGGCACCACCAGGAGUGGAGCCUGCGGCUUAAUUUGACUCAACACGGGGAAACUCACCAGGUCCAGACGUAAUAAGGAUUGACAAGUUAGAGACUUCUCUUGAUCUUACGGGUGGUGGUGCAUGGCCGUUUUUAGUCCUUGGAGUGAUUUGUCUGCUUAAUUGCGAUAACGGACGAGACCUUAACCUGCUAAAUAGGGCUGCGAGCAUCUGCUCGGGUGCUCUUCUUAGAGGGACUAUGGGUAUCAAACCCAUGGA
rnacentral:rRNA from 1 species